GAUGAACGCUGGCGGCGUGCCUAAUACAUGCAAGUCGAGCGAACAGACGAGGAGCUUGCUCCUCUGACGUUAGCGGCGGACGGGUGAGUAACACGUGGAUAACCUACCUAUAAGACUGGGAUAACUUCGGGAAACCGGAGCUAAUACCGGAUAAUAUAUUGAACCGCAUGGUUCAAUAGUGAAAGACGGUUUUGCUGUCACUUAUAGAUGGAUCCGCGCCGCAUUAGCUAGUUGGUAAGGUAACGGCUUACCAAGGCAACGAUGCGUAGCCGACCUGAGAGGGUGAUAGGCCACACUGGAACUGAAACACGGUCCAGACUCCUACGAGAGGCAGCAGUAGGGAAUCUUCCGCAAUGGGCGAAAGCCUGACGGAGCAACGCCGCAUGAGUGAUGAAGGUCUUCGGAUCGUAAAACUCUGUUAUUAGGGAAGAACAAAUGUGUAAGUAACUAUGCACGUCUUGACGGUACCUAAUCAGAAAGCCACGGCUAGCUACGUG
rnacentral:rRNA from 1 species